rnacentral:lncRNA from 1 species
UGAACGUUGAGGUUAUCGGGUACCAACUGGAUGAUGACGACGAUGAGACUGUCCAUAAGCUACCAAUUCAUUUCUGUGUGUUGACACACAGCACAAAUGAUUUUGCUGAGUCACUUGCAGUGUGUGAUCCAGUCAGCACUUUGAGACCUAGUCAUGUGAAACAGCAGAGCUGCGUCUGCACAUGAGCCCUUUCAUCAGCUUAGCAACUUGC